ACAAAAACAUGUCUCUUUGAUUAUAUAUUGUAUAAAGAGUCUAACCUGCCCGGUGAUGUAUAUUUAACGGCCGCAGUACUUUAACUGUGCGAAGGUAGCAUAAUCAUUUGCCUUAUAAUUGAAGGCUUGUAUGAAUGGUUUGACGAGAAUAAAUCUGUCUUAAUUUAAUUUUUUAGAAUUUAACUUUUAAGUGAAGAGGCUUUUAUUUAAUUAAUAGACAAGAAGACCCUGUCGAGCUUAAUUUUUUUCUUUAUAAAUAUAUAUUUUUAUGUUUUUUGUAAAUUUUAGUUGGGGUGACUGAGGAAGUAUAUAAGUUUCCUUAUAAAUUUUUAAAUUUGUUUAUUUUGAUUUAUAAUAGUUAUAAUUAGUAGAAUUAGUUACCGCAGGGAUAACAGCAUAAUCUUUUUUGAGAGUUCAUAUCGAAAAAUUGGUUUGUGACCUCGAUGUUGGAUUAAAAUAUCCUAAAGGUGUAGAAGUUUUUAAGGGUUAGUCUGUUCGACUAUUAAAAUUUUACAUGAGCUGAG
rnacentral:rRNA from 1 species